GUGGGUGUAGCUCAGUUGGUUAGAGCACCAGGUUGUGGCCCUGGGGGUCGCGGGUUCAAAUCCCGUCACUCACC
rnacentral:tRNA from 1 species